CUACGUGCCAGCAGCCGCGGUAAUACGUAGGUCCCGAGCGUUGUCCGGAUUUAUUGGGCGUAAAGCGAGCGCAGGCGGUUUGAUAAGUCUGAAGUUAAAGGCUGUGGCUCAACCAUAGUUCGCUUUGGAAACUGUCAAACUUGAGUGCAGAAGGGGAGAGUGGAAUUCCAUGUGUAGCGGUGAAAUGCGUAGAUAUAUGGAGGAACACCGGUGGCGAAAGCGGCUCUCUGGUCUGUAACUGACGCUGAGGCUCGAAAGCGUGGGGAGCGAACAGGAUUAGAUGCCCUGGUAGUCCACGCCGUAAACGAUGAGUGCUAGGUGUUGGAUCCUUUCCGGGAUUCAGUGCCGCAGCUAACGCAUUAAGCACUCCGCCUGGGGAGUACGACCGCAAGGUUGAAACUCAAAGGAAUUGACGGGGGCCCGCACAAGCGGUGGAGUAUGUGGUUUAAUUCGACGCAACGCGAAGAACCUUACCAGGUCUUG
rnacentral:rRNA from 1 species